rnacentral:rRNA from 1 species
UACGUAGGGUGCAGGCGUAAUCGGAAUUACUGGGCGUAAAGCGUGCGCAGGCGGUUUCUUAAGUCAGAUGUGAAAGCCCCGGGCUUAACCUGGGAACUGCGUUUGAAACUGGGAGACUUGAGUGUGGCAGAGGGGGUGGAAUUCCGACGUGUAGCAGUGGAAAUGCGUAGAUAUGUGGAGGAACACCGAUGGCGAAGGCAGCCCCUGGGUCAACACUGACGCUGAGGAGCGAAGCCAGGGAGCAAACGGG